GGAUAUAGCUCAGUGGUAGAGCACAUGCUUAGCAUGUGCGAGGUCCUAGGUUCAAUCCCCAGUACCUCCA
rnacentral:tRNA from 1 species